GCCUGAGUGGCUCAGUUGGUUAAGCACCCGACUUCAGCUCAGGUCAUGAUCUCACGGCUUGUGGGUUCAAGUUCUGCAUCAGGCU
rnacentral:tRNA from 1 species